rnacentral:rRNA from 1 species
CCUACGGGUGGCAGCAGUGAGGAAUAUUGGUCAAUGGACGAGAGUCUGAACCAGCCAAGUAGCGUGAAGGAUGACUGCCCUAUGGGUUGUAAACUUCUUUUAUAUGGGAAUAAAAUGUUCCACGUGUGGGAUUUUGUAUGUACCAUAUGCAUAAGGAUCGGCUAACUCCGUGCCAGCAGCCGCGGUAAUACGGAGGAUCCGAUCGUUAUCCGGAUUUAUUGGGUUUAAAGGGAGCGUAGGUGGAUUGUUAAGUCAGUUGUGAAAGUUUGCGGCUCAACCGUAAAAUUGCAGUUGAAACUGGCAGUCUUGAGUACAGUAGAGGUGGGCGGAAUUCGUGGUGUAGCGGUGAAAUGCUUAGAGAUCACGAAGAACUCCGAUUGCGAAGGCAGUUCACUGGACUGCAACUGACACUGAGGCUCGAAAGUGUGGGUAUCAAACAGGAUUAGAUACCCCUGUAGUC